UGGGCUUUAGGGGUCUCUCCUAUCUGUGUGAUUGUAGGAUUGUAUUAUUAUUUUUAUGGUGGAGAUUGUGGAGAUAUUGGAUGGCCAUCUGUCAGGAGUGUUUGGAUUGUGUGGUCUUGUAUGGUAGAAGGAGGUUGUACUGGAUGAUUCUUAGGGCUGUCUGCAAACAUAAGGAUUUCGUGAUAUUGGUAUUGUUAUUAUCAAGAGGCUGUAUGGCCAUCUGUUGGGAAUGUUUGGAUUGUGUUCUCCAUGGCAGGAAGGGGUUGGACUGGAUGGGCUUUAGGGGUCUCUCCUAUCUGUGUGACUGUAGGAUUCUAUUAUUAUUUUUAUGGUGGAGAUUGUGGAGAUAAGCACCAAAACAUCAUGUUAGACAACACAUUUGGUAGAAAAAGUAGUUCAAUAUGCAGUAAUGUUAUGUUGUAAUUACUGUAUUUCCGAAUUUAGCACCAAAAUAUCAUGAUAUAUUGAAAACAUUGACUACAAAAAUGGCUUGGAUAAUCCAGAAACUUGGAUAAGCGAGGCUUGGAUAAGUGAGACUCUACUGUAAAUAAUUCGGAUGAUGGGCGGGCGCUAGGACCCAGGGGACAGCUUUUUCCCAUUGCCUGCCUUUCCUUUUCCCUGCCGGCCAUGAGGGCUUCUCUUUGCCUCCUGGCAUGGCUCCCUAUGGUGCGUUGUGGGUUCUGUCCAUGUGGAGGUGAGCAUACAGAGCUGAAAUAGCUGAUGACAGAACCAUCUGCAAAGGGCUAGCAGUACGUUAUUAAUCAGUAUGAGCUGCUAUCUAAUCAGGCAUGUGUGCCAUGAAUAAUUCAGUGUUGAUCGGCAUAUCUUUAAUACAUAUGAGGAACAAGCAAAACUACACAUCUGGUGCAACAAAGAAAGAAAAAGGCACUGAGAUGUUUUCCAGAGCUUGAUUAGACCAGGAUUAAAUGUAUAUGUGCUGAAUAUACCCAUGUACAAGAAAGCCUAAGUAAAUGUGGCAUUAAAGACAGAUUUUUAAAAAUG